GAUGAACGCUGGCGGCAUGCCUAACACAUGCAAGUCGAUCGGUAAGGCCCUUCGGAGUACACGAGAGGCGGACGGCUGAGUAACGCGUAGGAACACACCCUGCAGUGAGGGAUAAGACACCGAAAGGUGUUCUAAUACCGCAUACGGUCUUCGGAUUAAAGCAUUUAUGCGCUGAAGGAGUGGCCUGCGUCAUAUUAGAUAGUUGGUGAGGUAAUGGCUCACCAAGUCGAUGAUGUGUAGCUGGUCUGAGAGGAUGAUCAGCCAGACUGGAACUGAGACACGGUCCAGACUCCUACGGGAGGCAGCAGUGAGGAAUAUUUCACAAUGAGCGAAAGCUUGAUGGAGCAAUGCCGCGUGCAGGAUGAAGGCCCUCGGGUUGUAAACUGCUUUUAUAAGAGAAGAUUAUGACGGUAACUUAUGAAUAAGGGACGGCUAACUACGUG
rnacentral:rRNA from 1 species